rnacentral:rRNA from 1 species
GAUGGCGACCGGCGCACGGGUGAGUAACGCGUAUCCAACCUUCCCUGUAACUAGAGGAUAGCCCGGCGAAAGUCGGAUUAAUACUCUAUGUUAUUCGAUGCGGACAUCUAAUUUGAAUCAAAGGUUUACCGGUAUAGGAUGGGGAUGCGUCUGAUUAGGUUGUUGGCGGGGUAACGGCCCACCAAGCCUACGAUCAGUAGGGGUUCUGAGAGGAAGGUCCCCCACAUUGGAACUGAGACACGGUCCAAACUCCUACGGGAGGCAGCAGUGAGGAAUAUUGGUCAAUGGACGAAAGUCUGAACCAGCCAAGUAGCGUGCAGGAUGACGGCCCUAUGGGUUGUAAACUGCUUUUAUACAGGGAUAAAGUCAGUUACGUGUAACUGUUUGUAGGUACUGUAUGAAUAAGGACCGGCUAAUUCCGUGCCAGCAGCAGC